GUUAGAACGCUCGUAGUCGGAUUUCGGGGCGGGCCGACCGGUCUGCCGAUGGGUACGCACUGGUCGGCGCGUCCUUCCUUCCGGAGACCGCGCCUACUCUUAACUGAGCGGGUUCGGGAGACGGAUCGUUUACUUUGAAAAAAUCAGAGUGUUUCAAGCAGGCAGCUCGCUCUUGCAUGGAUUAGCAUGGGAUAAUGAAAUAGGACUUUGGUGCUAUUUUGUUGGUUUCGAACACCGAAGUAAUGAUUAAAAGGGACAGUCAGGGGCACUCGUAUUCCGCCGAGAGAGGUGAAAUUCUCAGACCAGCGGAAGACGAACCACUGCGAAAGCAUUUGCCAGGGAUGUUUUCACUGAUCAAGAACGAAAGUUAGGGGAUCGAAGAGGAUCAGAUACCCUCGUAGUCUUAACCAUAAACCAUGCCGACUAGGGAUUGGGGGAUGUUCACUGAUUGAACUCCCUCGGCACCUUACGGGAAACCUAAA
rnacentral:rRNA from 1 species